CCAUGGAUUUGAUGGCUAGGGUUUGAAAAUUUAGGGAAAACCGAAAAUGAGCCGUGAGAACCAAGGAUUUGAGAAGAACGAAUCUUGGUUUGGAGGAAUUUUGAGGUUUUUGGGAGAGCAAGGAUGUGGAUUCUUGAGUAGGACGAGAGGGAGAGGAGAAGACUUGGGAUUUGAGGCAUCCCAACUCUCUGUUCUAUUGAAAAAUGAUCGGAUGGGCUCACCUAUAAGUGACCUACCCGCAUGAAUGGGAUGUCCCAUAGGAUACCCCAUUCAGGGCUCUUUCAGGUGAUAGGGAAAAUGAUUUAAAUAAAGAAAAAAAUCAAAAGAAAAAAUCAAAAAAUGGUCACAUCGAGUUGAGAAGGUCAUGGAGGGUCUAUGUAAAUUUUGAUGUGAUUUUUGAUAGAAAAUUUUAACGGGUAAAAAUCCAAGA
rnacentral:lncRNA from 1 species